GACGAACCGUGCAAACGUUGUUCGGAAUCACUGGGCUUAAAGGGCGCGUAGGCGGCUUGCCAAGUCAGGGGUGAAAUCUUUCGGCUUAACCGGAAAAGUGCCUUUGAUACUGGCGAGCUAGAGGGAGGUAGGGGCAUGUGGAACUUCCGGUGGAGCGGUGAAAUGCGUUGAUAUCGGAAGGAACGCCGGUGGCGAAAGCGACGUGCUGGAUCUCUUCUGACGCUGAGGCGCGAAAGCUAGGGGAGCGAACAGG
rnacentral:rRNA from 1 species